UACGAAGGGGGCUAGCGUUGUUCGGAUUUACUGGGCGUAAAGCGCACGUAGGCGGAUCUUUAAGUCAGGGGUGAAAUGCCAAGGCUCAACCUUGGAACUGCCUCUGAUACUGGAGAUCUUGAGUUCGGGAGAGGUGAGUGGAACUGCGAGUGUAGAGGUGAAAUUCGUAGAUAUUCGCAAGAACACCAGUGGCGAAGGCGGCUCACUGGCCCGAUACUGACGCUGAGGUGCGAAAGCGUGGGGAGCAAACAGG
rnacentral:rRNA from 1 species